GACGAACGCUGGCGGCGUGCUUAACACAUGCAAGUCGAACGCUGAAACCCGGAGCUUGCUCUGGGUGGAUGAGUGGCGAACGGGUGAGUAACACGUGAGCAACCUGCCCCUGACUCUGGGAUAAGCGCUGGAAACGGCGUCUAAUACUGGAUACGAGACGUGGCCGCAUGGUCAACGUUUGGAAAGAUUUAUCGGUUGGGGAUGGGCUCGCGGCCUAUCAGCUGGAUGGUGGGGUAAUGGCCUACCAUGGCGACGACGGGUAGCCGGCCUGAGAGGGUGACCGGCCACACUGGGACUGAGACACGGCCCAGACUCCUACGGGAGGCAGCAGUGGGGAAUAUUGCACAAUGGGCGCAAGCCUGAUGCAGCAACGCCGCGUGAGGGAUGACGGCCU
rnacentral:rRNA from 1 species